CUAUACUUCAAUUAGAAAAUAAAAAGCCUGUGGGAGGUCAGAGAAGGAUUCUUUUUUAUUUUUGGCUCACCACGCAGCUUGCGUGAUCUUACUUCCCCGAAAGGGAUCGAACCCAUGCCCCCUGCAGUGGAAGCUCAGAGUCCUAACCACUGGACCACCAGGGAAGUCCCUGAGAGAAGGAUUCUUGAAGGGGGACUUCUGAGCCUGCUUCUGAAGGAGUCAGCCAAAUGCAGAUAUGAAAGAUACAGAGAAAUAGAGGUGAGUUCCAGAAACUUCAAGUGAGCUGUUAUUUUUGGAGCCUGAGGCAUGUGUGGAUGUGACCAGGGAUGAAGCUGGACCCAGAGACUGCAAAGAACCAGGUAAUGAGGGGCCUGGCUGCCGUACUAUGGAGUCUGGUUAUUGCCCCAAAGGUGGUGGAAAGCCCUCGGAGGUACUUAUGGGAGGGAACAGGGUGUGGAUAUGGUCUGGUUUGCAAAACACUUUGGUGGCCAAUGUUGAGGUGAAUUAGAGGUGUACUGUGAGGAGAAAGAUGGCCUAGAAAUUGUCGAGGCUUGAAUAAGGAGAAGAACAUUAUAACAGAUCCCUCAGGAUGGAAGCAAAAUCCUCUUUGGACACAACUAUGAAUCUACCUGUCUCUGCAUUGCUUUGUAGGUUGCCACGUGUACAGAACACUAUGGACCCCAGAACAAAAAUUCAAAAGAUAUGCAUUGGGUUUAUGGAUGAAGACUCUUCAUCCACCUUUGUCACUAAAAUCUGCACAGAAAGAAACAAGGUCUUCAGCUUCCUAAAGACAUGUUUGCAAUUCCGCUGGGACAAAAGAUACCUGGCUAGAACCCCAGAGGGGAAAUAAAAACAAAGGAUUCAGAAGGGCUACCUCUUAAAGCCUGUCUAUACAGCAUUGGAGAUGCCCACAGAAGGCUUUCUACCCAAACUUUCAACCCCAAGGAAGUCAGAAAUGCCAUAAUUCAAGUUUUAUUCUUUAGGAAGAAACAUUGCAAAUCUCUCUGCCACACAUAUCCUUGCUGGCAUGGGGGAAACGGGAAAGCGAGGCUGUACACAUCCCCUCUUCCCUGUGUGGGGGACUCAGGGCACCAGAGCCUGGAGGCAGGAGAGCAGCACAAGGUGAUGAGGAUGGACCCCUCCACUUGCUGUCUACCUGCUGUCAAAGGGGUCACAUGCAGUACUUCAAGGCCCAUAUGGUCCCUGGGAGUCUGCACGCCAGGCAUCUCCCUCCAUCCCGGAGCUCUGCAAGGACCUCGGCUUCUGAAGCAGAGCUUCUUCACAAACAGUAAUAAGUAGGAAUCACUGUUUUUGGAUAUUUCCCUCCUAUGACAUAAACUUUCUAAGUCUUCUACCAAAAAUAUAUAAUCAGAAAAAAAAGCAGCAUAAGUUAAAUGAACUUCAUCCAAGAAGUGGCAUUUUCAUAGAUGCGGAGUAUUUUACAGCCCACCCCUCCCACUGAGUCCUCCCUGUGAAUCCCUGUGUGAAUCCCCCCAGUGAAGAUUGUCUACCCAGGAGGGGUCUUUAGAACCAAGCAGAGAAACAGUACAUGAGUAUCACCCAAACUAUAAUCAAGACCAGGCGAAAGUGAUCUAGUCCUCGGUGGGGAGACCGAGAGAGAUGGGAUAAAGGCUUGUCUGAUACAACACAAUGCACUGAAGAUGAGGAAACUGAGACAGAGACACAUGAAGAACCUCAUCCAGAUUGCAUAGCAUAAUGUGGCAGAGCCAGGAUUGGAACCCAGGCUUCAGCCCAUGCACUGCAUGGUUUUUUAGAAACUGAUGAUCUGAUAUGGAAGAGCUCCAGUGAGUUUCUGGGAAGCUGGGGUUUGUGGGCUUGCAGGAGAAUUGGUCUAAGAGUACCCAGAGGCCUUCCCUGUCUAACAUGAGGUGAGUGAACUCAUUUGCACCCCAAGGCAGCCACGUCAUCCUUCCUAUCUGCUGAGCUGGCUUCCUAUCUGCUGAGCUGGUAUUUAUUCUGACUGAUGUAAGUGCCUUCCCAAGUAAACUCUCAGAGGCCAGGCAAGUACAUUCUCAGAUACCAUAAGACAUCUUUUCCUUUACAGUUUCCCUGCUUUCCCAGGGGUGUUUGUAUGGGAGGAGGCAAAGGAGGAGGGGAAGGCACUGCCUUCCAGAAACAUCCUACCUAGAUGCAGACACUCAGUUCUCAGGGUAGUGGGAAACCCUGAGGGAUGGUGUUGCCCAGGAGGCAAGUCAGAGAUCUUUGUUCUUUGGCCUUGGCAAAGCAGGACCUGUGGGGCUCUGAGAGGGCAGAGUGCCACCUGCCACCAUGGUAGAAGUAACAGAGCAUGUGCAGAGAACCUCCUAUGUGCCUGGCCCUGUGUGUGCACUGGGUCUACAGAGACAAAGGUCUGCUCUCAAGCAGAUCACACAGACAGAGACAUUGAUAAAAAGGAACCCAAAAGCAACACAUAUUGCUAAAUAGAGAGAGGGGACCACAGGAUGCUUCCUUACAUGUUCAGUGGGAUGAGGAGGAGAAAAUAGAAGGAAAGGGAAAGAAAGCGUGGGGUGGGCAGAAAGGAAGAGAGGGGUUGGUCAAGUAAAGCUUCUUGGAGGAAGAAUUCUGCUUGUCAGUCUGAAAAGGUAAGUAGGAAUUACUGAGUUACUGGUUAAUUGAAUUAAGAAAAAGAAAUUUCAGAUGGAGAUGGGUGAGUAGACAUAAAUGGGUCUGGCAUGCCCAGGGUCCUGGAGAAUGCAAGGAGAAACCUCACUAAUAGCCUUGAGUAUCAAGCUAUGAAGGGUGUUUUUCAUUCUGCCACCAAUGGGACUUGCUUGAGAAUUCUGAGCAGGGACGGGCCUAAUCUGAUUUGGGGAGAUGGACUAGAUAGAAUCAUCCCCCUCCUCAGGCCAAAGUGAUGGAAAUCCCCACCACUUUAUAAAGUCUCUAAUUGAGAAGAAUACACUAUCUCUGGAAAAGGAGUUAACAGCAUGCAAAUACCUUCCCUGGGUAUAUCACCUUAUCUCCCUGGGUAAUUCCUUAACACUCACCUCCUAAUACUUUAGCUCCCACCAACACAAAAACACCUACAGCACAUGAGCCUGCAUCCCUUUCUCAGAUUACGUGACAAGGAAAAUCCUGGUCCCAAGCUCACAAAGCAUAGGAAAGGUCAUUUAUUUUAUUUUAUUUUAUUUUUUAUUUAUUUAUUUUUUUUAGAUGUUGGGAGUAGGAGUUUAUUUAUUUAUUUAUUUAUUUU